GGUCACAGGUGUGCUGGCUUCUGUUGUAGGGGUCCAUCUGGAUGUUUGGAAGUGGACCGUGGUCCCUGUAACUGUGUCCCAGUUACUGACAUUAGGAGAAAACUCAGACAGUGUAAUGGUGGAAGCCCUCCAGAAGGAGAGCUGUGUUUGGGGUAAUUACUGGCAUGAGAAUACUCUGAAAGAAGAGGAGAUGAUUGGAGAUUUUGACAGAGUCUUUAAACGCUAUCUCUGCACAACCAAAAAAGAGUCUGGCUUUAUAGACUGGAUGGUCACAGACAGGCAGCUAAGGGAGACAGCUGCUGAGAUUCAGGAAACUGCCCAGUGUGAAGCCCAGGGAAAAGCUCUCCAGAACUCAGAGUUUUCUCUGCUUCUACCAGCCCAAGUGUUACUCGCUCU